rnacentral:rRNA from 1 species
GACGAACGCUGGCGGCGUGCCUAAUACAUGCAAGUAGAACGCUGAAGAGAGGAGCUUACUCUUCUUGGAUGAGUUGCGAACGGGUGAGUAACGCGUAGGUAACCUGCCUUGUAGCGGGGGAUAACUAUUGGAAUCGAUAGCUAAUACCGCAUAACAAUGGAUGACACAUGUCAUUUAUUUGAAAGGGGCAAUUGCUCCACUACAAGAUGGACCUGCGUUGUAUUAGCUAGUAGGUGAGGUAAUGGCUCACCUAGGCGACGAUACAUAGCCGACCUGAGAGGGUGAUCGGCCACACUGGGACUGGGACACGGCCCAGACUCCUACGGGAGGCAGCAGUAGGGAAUCUUCGGCAAUGGGGGCAACCCUGACCGAGCAACGCCGCGUGAGUGAAGAAGGGUUUCGGAUCGUAAAGCUCUGUUGUAAGUCAAGAACGGGUGUGAGAGUGGAAAGUUCACACUGUGACGGUAGCUUACCAGAAAGGGACGGCUAACUACGUG